UACGUAGGGUGCGAGCGUUGUCCGGAAUUACUGGGCGUAAAGAGCUCGUAGGUGGUUUGUCGCGUUGUUCGUGAAAACUCACAGCUUAACUGUGGGCGUGCGGGCGAUACGGGCAGACUGGAGUACUGCAGGGGAGACUGGAAUUCCUGGUGUAGCGGUGGAAUGCGCAGAUAUCAGGAGGAACACCGGUGGCGAAGGCGGGUCUCUGGGCAGUAACUGACGCUGAGACACGAAAGCGUGGGUAGCAAACAGG
rnacentral:rRNA from 1 species